rnacentral:rRNA from 1 species
GACGAACGCUGGCGGCGUGCUUAACACAUGCAAGUCGAACGGAAAGGCCCUGCGCUUGUUGGGUGCUCGAGAGGCGAACGGGUGAGUAACACGCGAGUAACCUGCCCUUGUCUUUGGGAUAACUUCAGGAAACUGGGGCUCAUAUCGCAUAGGAGCUCCUGCUGCAUGGUGUGGGUUGGAAAGAUUCGGCGGUUCGGGAUGGACUCGCGGCUUAUCGGCUGGUUGGUGGAGUAGUGGCUGACCAAGGCUUUGACGGGUAGCCGGCCUGAGAGGUGGGACGGCCACAAUGGGCCUGCGAGACGGCCCAGACGCCUACGGGAGGCAGCAGUGGGAAAUAUUGCACAAUGGGGGGAAGCCUGAGGCAGCGACGCCGCGUGCGGGAUGACGGCUUUCGGGGUGUAAACCGCUUUCGCCUGUGACGAAGAGUGAGUGACGGUAAUGGGUAAAGAAGCAACGGCUAACUACGUG